AUGAGGAACCAUUUGGAGAAAGAGCAUUCCGUGAUUUGUACGAAGAGACCUGGAGCGCAUCCACCAAAUCUUUCAAGCACCGGCGAGCCUAUUGUAAUUGGCAGCUCAUCCAAGGGAAAAGGAAAGAAACGACGGUCCAAGGCAUGGGAUUCUUUUGAUGUCAUAAAAGAAGUAAACGGACAGCCUAUCAAAGCAAGAUGUAAAUACUGUCCCACAGAGAUCAAGUGCGGAACCGGGAACGGGACAGCAGGUAUGCUCAACCAUAACAAGAUUUGUAAGAAGAAACCUGGACUAGAUGACCAGCCACCAAACUCGUCAAGCACCAAUGAUACUACCGCAAAUGAUGCUACCACAAAUGCAAGGCCUAAUCUAAUUGGUGAUUCAUCUAGCAGAAAAAGAAGGAGAGUUGAUGAGGAAUCCGCACAAAAUAUCGCAGCUAACACAAGUACCCCUUGGAACAAGGCUGAAUUAUCAAACAGAAUACAACAAAUAAUUAGUCGGUUACAGGACAUCCGAGGGGAAGUGAGUGAGGUUUUCAAGCUACAUGAAUCAGACUCUGCUUCAAGUUUAGAUCACAACCGGAGUACAACCUCGGAUCAGCAUCUGAGAACAUCAAGUCUUAUUUCAAGGCAAUUGUAUGGGAGAGUUGCAGAAAAGAAAUCCAUCUUGAAGUUGAUGAUGUCAGAUGACACAUCUAAUAGCAUAAUUGUUCUGCCUAUUGUAGGCGUUGCAGGUGUUGGAAAGACAGCUCUCACUCAACUUGUAUACAAUGAACCAAACGUGGAGAGUCGAUUUCAGCACAGGGUAUGGAUUUGGGUGUCUCGAAACUUUGAUGAAGUGAGGAUAACAAGGGAGAUGUUAAACUUUGUUUCUAGAGAAAAACAUGAAGAAAUAAACUGCUUUGUGAAGCUUCAGGAGAUCUUGAAAAUUCAUGUAAAAUCAAAGAGGGUUUUAAUAAUUUUAGAUGAUGUCUGGGAUGACAUGAACGACUGCCGAUGGAACCAAUUGUUGGCUCCUUUUAAGUUUAAUAGUGCUAAUGGCAAUGUGAUUCUUGUGACAACAAGAAAACUAUCUGUUGCAAAAAUGGUUGGAACAACUGAGCCAAUUAAGAUAGGUGCUUUGGAAGAGGACGAUUUCUGGUUAUUGUUUAAAUCAUGUGCACUUGGUGAUAGAGCCUCUGAAAAUCCUGGAAAUCUAUGCACUAUUGGACGACAAAUAGCAGGCAAGUUAAAGGGCAAUCCGUUAGCAGCAGUAACUGCAGGGGCACUAUUACGAGAUCAUCUUACUGUUGAUCAUUGGAGUAACAUUCUCAAGAAAGAAGACUGGAAAUCGUUGGGUCUCAGCGGAGGCAUCAUGCCUGCUUUGAAGCUUAGCUAUGAUGAACUGCCAUACCAUUUACAAAGAUGCCUAUCAUAUUGUUCUAUAUUUCCUAACAAGCAUAAGUUCUCGGGUAAGGAUUUGGUUUAUAUAUGGAUUUCCCAAGGAUUUGUGAGUUGCGCCAAUUUAAGUAAGAGCUUGGAGGAGAUAGGAUGGCAAUAUUUAAUUGAUAUGACGAACAUGGGCUUAUUUCAGCAAGUCAGAGGAGAAGAGUCGUCUUCAUUCUUUCACUCAAAUUGCCAAACAUGGUAUGUUAUGUGUGGUCUUAUGCAUGAUUUUGCAAGGAUGAUCUCAAGAACUGAGUGUGCAACUAUAGAUGGUUUACAGUGCAAUGGGAUGAUGUCAACUGUGCGACAUUUAUCAAUAGUAACUGACUCUGCAUACAAGAAAGAUCAGCAUGGGAAUAUUCUUCGUAAUGAGAAGUUCGAAGAAUAUCUAAGGAGUACAGUUACAUCAGUUGGUAAAUUAAGGACGUUGAUUUUACUUGGGCACUAUGACUCUUUCUUCUCACAGUUGUUCAAAGAUAUUUUCAAAGAGGCACAUAAUUUACACCUGCUGCAGAUGUCUGCAACAUCUGCUGAUUUUAGUUCCUUCCUAUGUGGUUUGGCAAGCGCGGUGCAUCUUCGUUAUCUAAAACUUGAGUCAGAUGGGUUGGAGGGGGAUUUUCCACAAGUUUUGGUCAAUCUUUUUCAUCUUCAGGUAUUAGAUGUUGGCUCAAACACCGAUCCUAUUUUACCUAAUGGCAUGCAUAAUCUUGUGAACCUGCGGUAUCUUGUUGCAGAAAAGGGAGUAUACUCUUCCAUUGCUAGCAUUGGUAGCAUGACAUCACUUCAACAACUUCAUAAUAUUAAGGUUCAAUUUUCUUGUAUCGGCUUUGAGAUAACACAACUCCAGUCUAUGAACGAGCUUGUACAACUUGGUGUGUCUGAACUUGAAAAUGUCAAAACUAGAUAUGAGGCUAAUGGAGCAAAACUGAGAGACAAAAGACACUUAGAAGAGUUGCGCUUGUUGUGGACGCAUACUCCGUCACGAGAUGAAUAUGCCACUGACACGAGCUUUCAACAUCCAGUGGACAAUGUAGAAAGAGAUGUAGAGCUCUUGCCAAUGGUUGAAAGAGGGCCAAGUUCCGAGCCUUGUCUGGACAGAGCAAGAGAGGUGCUAGAGGGUCUUGAACCACAUCAAGACUUAAAACAUCUUCAGAUAUCUGGGUACUAUGGUGCUACAUCCCCAACUUGGCUUGCCAACAAUAUCUCAGUUACCUCCCUGCGAACCCUUCAUCUAGACAGUUGUGGAGAAUGGGAAAUACUUCCGUUUAUGGAAAGGUUUCCACUUCUGAUAAAACUGAAGUUGACCAACCUGCGGAAAGUAAUCGAAGUAUUGGUUCCUUCACUGGAGGAGCUAGUUUUAGUUGAAAUGCCAAAGUUGCAAAGAUGUUUGUGCAUUUCCGUGGGGGGUCUGAGCUCUAGCUUAAGGGCAUUGCACAUCGAUAAGUGUCAAGCACUAAAGACGUUUGAUCUGUUUAUGAACGAUCAUAAAAUCAAACUAGAGCAGAGGCCAUGGUUGUCUGGUCUUAGGAAAUUAAUUAUGCGUGAUUGCCCUCAUUUAAAAGUAUUGAACCCUCUUCCACCUUCAGCCACCUUUUCUGAGUUACUCAUCAGUGGAGUUUCAACACUUCCAAGUAUGAAGGGGUCAUCUAGUGAAACGUUACAUAUUGGAUCUUUCAAUUGGUUUAUUGAUCACUCUUCUGGUGAGUUGACGGUACUGGAUGAUAAAAUAUUGGCAUUCCACAACCUGAGGAGAAUCAAAUUGAUGAGAAUAUAUGGUUGCCGGAAUCUAACUUCUAUUUCAUUCGAAGGUUUUAGUCAUCUCGUCUCUUUAGAGAGGUUGGAAAUACACUGGUGCGAAAAAUUGUUCUCUUCACAUGUUUUUCCAGAGCAUAUCCUUGAAGAUGUGCCGACUGCAAAUUGCAAGGCCUUCCCUUCUCUUGAAAGUCUCACUAUUGAGUUCUGUGGAAUAGCAGGGAAGUGGCUAUCUCUGAUGCUGCAACAUGCGCCAAACCUAGAAGAAUUGAUUUUAGAGAAUUGCCCCCGUAUAACAACGCUGUUAUCGACAGAAGAGGAAGAAAACAGUCCAUCAAAUCUUAUCAUGGACAGGGGGUACUCGUCAUCAGGAAAUCUAGAUGACGCAUUGGCAGGGUUAGCUCAAGACGAACUCUUGCACGUUCCAUCAAAUCCCGUCUCCUCUCUUAGGAAGAUAACUAUUCAGGGCUGCCCUUGUCUGACAUUUAAUGGGAGCAAGAACGGCUUCUCUAGAUUUACCUCCCUUGAGGAGAUAACGAUCUACAACUGCCCCGAGCUGUUCUCGCCUUUGGUGCAUAAAGCCGGAAAUGAUGACCGCACAAACGGAAGAUGGCUAUUCCCAACAUCACUUGGGGAACUUGACAUCGACGGCUAUUCCCAAGAGACGCUGCAGCCGUGUUUUCCAAGUCCUCUCACCAGCCUUAAAAAGUUGGAGGUACUGAGCAGCCCAGGUUUGGAAUCUCUGCAGCUUCAGUCAUGCACGGCACUUGAAGAGCUGAUAAUUGGAGGCUGUGGAUCACUCACCGCACUAGAGGGCUUGCAAUCCAUUGGCAACCUCAGGCAUUUGAAAGUAUCUGAUUGCCCUGGCCUGCCUCCAUAUUUAGAGAGCUUGUCAAGGCAGGGCUAUGAGAUCUGCCCUCGACUGGAAGGACUUCACAUCGAUGACCCAUCUGUCCUUAGCAAGUCAUUCUGCAAGCAUCUCACCUCCCUCCAACGCCUAGAACUGGGUCAUUUGAGCAUGGAAGCGACAACACUGACUGAUGAGCAAGAGAGAGCGCUUCUGCUGCUUAAGUCCCUGCAAGAGCUCGACAUUUGUGGUUGUUAUCAUCUCGUAGAUCUUCCUGCGAGGCUGGACACCCUUACUUCCCUCAAUAGGUUCAAGAUACAUUCCUGCUCCAUCAUCUCAAGGCUCCCACUAGCAUUUUAG
rnacentral:rRNA from 1 species